ACUCCUACGGGAGGCAGCAGUGGGGAAUAUUGCGCAAUGGCCGCAAGCCUGACGCAGCGACGCCGUGUGGGGGAUGAAGGCUUUCGGGUUGUAAACCACUGUCAGGAGGGACGAAUACUCGGCUUCAAAUAGUUGACCGAGGGUGACGGUACCUCCAAAGGAAGCACCGGCUAACUCCGUGCCAGCAGCCGCGGUAAU
rnacentral:rRNA from 1 species